ensembl:snRNA U6 U6 spliceosomal RNA
CAACCAAAAUGAUACACAGAAGAGUGGCAUGGUCUCUGGGCAGGGAUGGCACACAAACUCAUGAAGUAGUCCAUCUUUAA